CCUGGCGGCAGUAGCGCGGUGGUCCCACCUGACCCCAUGCCGAACUCAGAAGUGAAACGCCGUAGCGCCGAUGGUAGUGUGGGGUCUCCUAGU
rnacentral:rRNA from 11 species